rfam:Oceanobacillus oncorhynchi strain Oc5 genome assembly, contig: CONTIG000001
AAGCUGGUCGAAAAAGGUUUAUCGUGAGAAGUCAGCCGAUGCCGUAGUAGUGAUGAAAAUCAUGAAGGGC